rnacentral:lncRNA from 1 species
CCAAAUUAUAAACAUACCAAAUCUAAAUCAAUUUGCCUAGUUCAUGAGCACUUAAACAUAGAAUUAAAUUCACAUGCACCUAUCUAGAUUUAGUUCAAUUUACCAUACCAUAAUAUGGCUUCAAAAAUAAACACAUAUUUAUAUGUAUAACACCAACCAAAAUUAAACUUAUAACCUCAUUUACAAUCAAACCACAAAAUAACUAUUAUUUAGACACCUUAGGUACAUGCUGACACAAAGGAUAAACAUCACAACAUUUGAGUUCGGGAUCAUUGUUGGAUGCUGAAUUGACGAUCAAAAGUUAAGUACCUAACCUGCGCACGGAAAACAAAAUCAUAUGCUGAGUAAAACUUAGUGGUAUUUCUAUAAUCCAAAUACUUAAAGAUAAAAUAAUAUAAUAAGCACAAUUGAAUAUUAAGCACAAUUGAAUAUUUAAAAUUCACAUUUUUUUGUACAAUAGCAUUAACCAUUCAAUAUUCAAUUCAUAAUUAUAUUAUUCAUACCAUACUUAAUUCUCAUUAUUUGCCAUAAAAUAGCUUCUCACAAUAUAAUACACGUUUCACUUAAACAACAAUAAUGUUCAUUCCAUGUCCAAUUCAUGAAUACAGAAUUCAUGUGUCUCAAUCCAUAUUUCAAUUCACAGUCCCAUUUUCAUUUCACAUAUAAAAUCAUCCAACAUCGAUCAUAGUGUCAUUUCAUUUAAUUUCCCCUAUUAACAUGAUUCGGACUCGGACCGAUAUACGGAUCCAACCAAAACACACCAAUUUGGCACCUAGUGCCUCAUUGGAUAAUUCGAAGUAAUAAUUUGGCAUCCAGUGUCUCAUUGGCUAAACCAAAGUAAAUUGACACCCAGUGCCUUAUCGAAUUAAUCUGAAGUAGUAAAUCGACACCUAGUGUCUCAUCGACUCGAAGUCGAAAAAAAUUCUAAACUCUUCCAAUCUUAUGGCAUGUCAUCUAUAUCCGGCUCAGCUCAGUACAGUUAAUAGGGUUCCGGUUCACUUUUCCAAUACAACUAAUCAUUUCAAUUCAAAUAAUUAAUAUAUUCAAUAUAUAUAUACCAAUUCAAUUCAAUCAAUAUAAAUUCAAUAAAUUCAUCACAUAACGAAUCAAUCCAUUUCAAUUGCAAAACACAAUAAUUCUCACCUCGACACUUACCAUAUAUAUAAAAUUGAAUUAUAACAAUUAACAACUAGGUUCGAAUUAUAGAAAUACAAACCAGGAAUUCUGAGCUAUUCGAUGUCGACUUUAUCUUUCCCCUUUUUAGUCGAGGAUUCCGGUACAAUGUUAGCUACGGAGUUAAAAUAAUUAAAAUUCAUCAAUACAAUACAAUUCAAUUUCAUAUUGCAUAUUUCAAUUUUUACUCAACAUUUGUCUAAAUUCCAACUUAGUCCCUAAACCGAGACUAAUUUUAUUUCUUUACAAUCAAUUAUAUAUUUUCAUUCAAUUUCCACUUUAAACUAGAUUUAACUCUCUAAUUUCACUUAAAUCCCUAAAUUUUGAAUUUUUCACAAUUUAGUCCUUAUUACUCAAAAUUUACAAUUUAUUCUACAAUUCAAUCCUUUUUCAUUUCUAACUUGAAAAUCUAUCAAUUUAAUCCUCAAUACUCAAAUUAUUCAACAUAGACAACACUUAAAAAUUCAAUAAUUUCUAAAAUUUUGACAUAGGUCAGGUAGUAUUUAAUACCGGGAUUCCAAAAACAUAAAAAUUAAAAGAAAAAUGGACUAAAUUGACUAACCAAUUGAGCUUGAAACUUUGAAACCCUAGUUUUCUCCUUUCUUUCUUUUUCUCCUGCUUCGUUUUUGCUUCUCUGUUUCUUUCUUUCUUUAUUUUUCUUUUUAUUUCUUUGUUUCAUUAUUAUAUAAUAUAAUAUAUAAUAUAUAUACUUAAAUAUUAAGGUAUAAUAUUAUAAUAUUAUAAUAUAUAUUUUAACUUUAAAAUUUUUUAAUAAUAACACUUAUGUCGCCUCAUUUAUGAGCAAUGGCAUAAUUGCUUCUUCAGUCCUUUUACUUUUUCUUUAAUCUACAAUUGAACUUUCACCCUAUAUACAAUUUAGUCCUUAUACCUAAUUACUUUUAAUUCAAGCAAAUUCACUUAAUCAAACCCAAAUUAACUACAAAACUAACUUCGCAAAUAUUUAUUAAAAAUAUUUACGAGUCUGAUUUACGGGAACAGAGUCCUGGAAAUGAUUUUUUUUAAUUUGAUCCUUUUUAAUUAAUUAACCAUCGAAACAUUAAAAUUUCUUAACGAAACUUUAAUACCACCUUAAUGACACUCCGUAAAUAUUUAUAAAACUCAGUUUAUAAAAACAAGAUCCCAAUGCCUUAUUUUCUAAAAGUACUUGAACUUAAUAAAUCAUUUAUAUAACAUAAAUUAUCAAAUCAAAAACUUUUUUAAAAAUCACAUUUGAAUCAUAAAUAUUAAAUAAUAAUAUUUAUGAACCUACUCGUCGGAUUUGGUGGCCCUGAAAUGACUAUUUCUGACACCACUGAAAAACGGGCUGUUACAUCUUCAAUCUGAAUCACUUUCCAUACUCCCCGUGGUCUUCAAUCCUCUUAGUCUCUGCAACAUGCCAAAACCUUACAUCAGAAAUAUGGAUAAUAACUAAAAAAAUUAUUGCAUUGUAGGAAAUGUAAAAGAAAAGAAACCAAAUCAUAUGUUACCUUCUUAGAACUCUUCUUUUCCCUAAUUCAUAUCUUUCUUGGCACAUAUCAAUCAACCAUGCUCUAGGGCCCACCAGGUAUUAGGGGUGAGUAUUCGAUCAAGUUGAGUCGAAUCGAGUCGAAAAUUUUCAAGUUAGUCGAGUUGGCGAAUCCUAUUUUAGCAACCAAACUCAAUUUGAAUUUUUUCGAAUCGAAUAAAAAAAUUUCGAGUCAAGUUGAAUCGAGUUAACGAAUCCUAUUAUUUAUACUCAGUGGUGCAUUUACAUGGAUCGAUUAUUUAACUAGUAGAUGAAGUACAAGAUUAUUUAACUACAUAAACAAUAUAAUGGUUUUGCCUUUUAACUUUUAAAAGUUAAAAGUAAAAACCAUUAAGUAACAUUUAUCAAAAUGACUUUGUUUUGUCUUUUCUUAUUUGGAUUUUUGGAUAACUCAAAUUGUGUAAUUCAUAUUCGAGUUAAACCGAAAAACUUAAUUUUUUUAUUCGAGUUUUCCUAAUAACUUGAUUAACUCAAAUAACUCAAACUAUUUAAUUCAAAUUUUGAAUUUUUUAUCAAGUUUUUCGAAUCAAAUCGGAUUUUGUACACCCCUACCAACUACCACCACAACCUACCAAUACAUGUCAAAUUUACACAAAAAAUAUAUAUGAAGCUUGCAUAUAUGCUUCGAAUACAUCAAUGUUUACUUGCAAAACUAAACUAAACUAUACUUCAAUAAAACAAACCAAGUUGCUAUUUUUCGGUCUUAGUUUGACAAUAGUUGAAAGAGAGUAGAUAAGAGUUGUAUGAUUAGUUGUGAUGCUCAUGAACUUAUGUACACCAAGUUAAAAAAGUUAAACUAAAAACUACAACAAUCUAACUAGCAUUGAGCAAUGUGUAACCCUAUAUACAUGUUUGUAAUGAUUUCACGAUCAACAAAAAUACAAAAACAAAAAUUAAACUUUCCAAAAAAAGAAAAGCCCAAAUCAAAAGAAAAAUCCAAAGGGAAAUCAUUUAUGCACUAUAAAUGAAUAAAAUGAAACAUUACAACCUAACAGUUUUAACAAGACUUCAUAAACUCAUCCAGCACUUCAUAAAAUGACAGUUUCCAGUUUGCUAAGUUCAGGGUACUGAAUAUUUUAUAAUGCCAAUGAUUUGAGAUAUGAAACCAAUAAAUUUACAAAGACAUCAUACUAUAUAAAGCAACAAGAAUCAGCAAAUAGUGUUACUAGGAUCAACUUUGGGGAAGCUUCGAGGAUCAACUUUGUUCAUAAAAUAAAUUUUCUAACUAAGGUAAUUGUAGAGAGAUAACACCUCUUAUAAAGCAAAAGAAACAAUAAUAAUACAUUGAGAUUUAUACUAAUUAGUACAAAAUUUAUAAAGUAAUCGUGAAAGGAAAAGUAACAUGAUACUCACAAUUGUGCUCAAUCCAAUGGUUUGAUUUUCCAAAUCAUACAAAACCAGCUUGUUGGAAAGUACUAAAUCUGUAAGCAACAAAACAAAGUUCCAUAAAAAAUUCAAAUUACUCUAAUUUCAGCAAAUACUAUUGCAACUUACAGUCUAAUAAAAUCAAUGCUACAAGGUACACACUUAAGAUUUCCAUUUAGUAUUCACUUGGAUUUGAUGAUUAAAAUCUUUUUAAUCCAAGUUAUAAAAAUAACCAAUCAUUCAGGACAACCUAAAAAAACAUGUCUGAAAAAGGACAAUAGGACAUAAUAAAAAGGUAUUUUAAUGAUAAUUUAAAAGAAUAAUCAAUAAUAAGAGAAGACAUAAAUAUACCAUUAUUUUUAAUAAAACAUCAGUAUAAACCUUGUAGAGAAGCUACGACAAUAUUGUAGGCAAUUAUUAAAGUAUAUCUCAGGUAUCCAAAUUAAAGUUAUGAGUAUCACGACCAAAACAAUAUAGAUCUUAUAGAAAUUACAUCAAUAUACAAACUAUAACAAGAACAAAAACAUAUGUGGAAAGAAGUGCACCAAUGCAGUACUUUUGAAAUCAUAAUUUUCACCUUCCAAUUGAGCCUAUAAGGUGUGAAUUUCAUGAAAAAAAAAUUCUACAUUAGAAUAUGAAAAAUAGAAAAAAGUAGAGAAUUCAAUUAACUAAAGAAAGCCCUUUCUCAUUCUAUAUUCUCUUACAAUUGUUAGAAACCACAAUAUGUAUAUAUUGUUGAUAAAUAAGUCCAUUACUUUUAACAUUGAUUUUUACAUAUUUUUUGGAGCUAUUAUUGAUAAAUAAGCCCAUCACUUUUAAUCUAUUAUUUCCUUAUAAGCCAAUACUUAUUUUAAGGAGUCCAUUUUAUUUGUAGCGUCUAUAUCCAUUUUUAAUGAAUUUUAUUUGUAGCGUCUAUAUCCAUUUUUAAUGAACUAUCAAAAGCAAUUGGAACAACAGCAUAGUCCAUGGAGAAGACUUAUAAGAAGACAUGAAUCAUCCAUUGGUGUUGUAAUUGUGCCAAUAAGACCUGUAAGAAGACAUGAAUCAUCCAUUGGUGUUGUAAUUGUGCCAAUGAUAACCAUUCAAGACAGGCUAUUUUAUUGCAAACCAAAAUAUUUGCUUAAGGAUCACAAAAGCAAACUGAUUUUCAAUUGUAAUGGAAAUCAUACCAAAGAACCCAAAUUAAUCAAAUUCAUUAUAACACUUCAAAAACCAAAAGAAAUAUGAAAACCCCCAACAAGAAUCAAACAUAUCUUUUUUUUUGUUCAACAAAAAUUAAACAUAUUGGCAACAUUAGUAACCAAAUUCCUAAAUCAAGUUGUGUGAUCCAAUUAAAGAGUUAAAAGAAUGAUAGAUUAACCGAGCAAGAAUCAAAGAAAUUUCAAUUAAAGAAUCAAAGUCAAUCAACAUUUCUUCAAUCGAUGAACAUGAAACACAGAAAAUCAAAAUCAAAAUCAGAAAACAAAAACCUAUUAAGACAUACAUACCUUGUUAAUUCGACAAUCGGAGGUUAAUUGAUCAUUCAUUACAAAAAAAAACACAAUUCACCAUUUUUACAUAUCAAAUCUAACUAUAAAAUGAAUGGGAAACUAAUGAAAUCAUUUGCAGUUUUAUAACAAUGGGUCUUGAUUCUUGAAGUGAAAAUUACAUUUAAAAAAUGGUACCCAGAAAAAGGAAAAGAAACCCAGGAAUGUGAUGAGAAAACUUGAAGAAUAUGAGAGAAAAAGGGUAAAAAAAAGAAGAAGCUUAAACCAACAUGGGAUAUGGGUUGGUUGACAAGAAUCUUAAAAGAAAAGCAUAGUCCCCAUUUAUUUUUUGUGUUGAUGAAUAAAAAAGAAGAAAUUAAAGAAAAGAAUUUGGGGAUUUACUUAAUGAAUAAAAUGGGUAUCGAAGGGUGGAAACAAGCAUCAGCGAUGGAAGCAAAGUGGUCUAAGAUUCAAACAAAAAAUAAAAAAUACUAAGAAAAUGAACAAUAAAUUACCCGAUAAUGGAAGUAGAUUUUGCCUCUAACUUUGUUACUCACUGUAACAGGCGCAUCUAGAGAAAAUGAAGAAGGUAGAUGAAAAGAGACUUUUAUCUUCAAAAGUAGAAGGCUAUUACGGACAACAAAGAAUAGCCAAUUCAGAGCCCUAUUUACAGAAUGGUUAUUCAGUGCUCACCCAUAAUAGAGGCUUACAUGGAAUAAUGAUUCGGUAAUAAAAAAAUGAACCAAACAAAGAAAACACUAUUUAAAAUUGAAUAAGCAUUGAACUGAAUCCUUAUUC